rnacentral:rRNA from 1 species
UGGGGAAUAUUGGACAAUGGGCGAAAGCCUGAUCCAGCAAUGCCGCGUGUGUGAAGAAGGUCUUCGGAUUGUAAAGCACUUUCGGCGGGGACGAUGAUGACGGUACCCGCAGAAGAAGCCCCGGCUAACUUCGUGCCAGCGGCCGCGGUAAUACGAAGGGGGCUAGCGUUGCUCGGAAUUACUGGGCGUAAAGGGCGCGUAGGCGGGUGUUUAAGUCAGAGGUCAAAUCCCAGAGCUCAACUCUGGAACUGCCUUUGAUACUGGACACCUAGAGUUCGGGAGAGGUGUGUGGAACUCCGAGUGUAGAGGUGAAAUUCGUAGAUAUUCGGAAGAACACCAGUGGCGAAGGCGACACACUGGCCCGAUACUGACGCUGAGGCGCGAAAGCGUGGGGAGCAAACAGGAUUAGGUACCCUGGUAGUCCACGCCGUAAACGAUGAGUGCUAGUUGUCGGCAUGCAUGCAUGUCGGUGACGCAGC